GUGUUCCCCGCUCUCACCCUCCCCGAGCCGGGUGCUGGGCGGUCAUUGCUUUGCAUCUCCCUUGCCCACCCCCCACCAUGGCCUUUAGCGUCUCCCCCCUCCUGCUCCCACCCCGGGCUCUGAAGUCAGGAAACCCAAGAGGAAAUGACUGAGCCCGUCUGGGUUCCCGCCCGCCAGCGCUCUCCUGGCCACACCCUCUGCCUGGACGCAACUGCCGCCUCUACCCUCUCUCCAAAAAGCUGCGGGCUCUGGACCCCCAGCUCGGAGGUAAGUCUCUCUUCCGACCCCGCUCAGUCCAGGGCCUCGGCCCAGGUGGGUAAAGACUGGUCUUGGCGGAUCCUCUCCGCCCCCCAUUCAUACUGACUUCUCCCGCGGGCUCGUGGGCUGCCCUCCUUCUCUCCCUCCUGCCUCGCUCUCCCCAGCUCUCCUCCGUCCUUCUCGGACCAGUCCUUCCCAGAUCUGCCCAUAGAACAGCAUCCUGUUCUAUGGUCCCUGCAAUGAGGCCCAGACGCCACUUACGUUUUUCUCUGAGAUCAGGAGCAAAUUACUCAUUCUUCCUCUUUCCCCUCCUGGCCGACUCCUCCGCUGGGCCGGGUGACAGCCCCAGAGGAGAGGAAGAGGCCCAGGAUCUACUCCUGUACCCCAGCCCCUACUGGGUGCCCAGCAGGGUCCGUCCAAGAGGGAUGUCACUCUCUGGUCACCUGUGUUUCCUCACCAUCGUCGGCCUGAUUCUUCCCACUAGAGGUAAGGCCCAGCCUUUGUCUCCACUCUGCCCCAGAGCCCCCAGCCCUACCUCAAGUGCACUGCUGGGUGGGCAGCUGGUGAGUUUGGCGGCCCUGUCCUGUGUCCGCAACCCCCUGCUGAGCCGGCACCAGGAAGUGGGGCUCCCAAAGAGGGGGACAGGGAUACACCCUUUUUGGACACCUCAGAACUGGGUGGCCGCUUCCAGCGAGUCUGGCCAGAGCCUGUCCUGCUGAGCAGGCUCCAUUUCACUUCCAAGAAGAACUCACUGAGUUUGAUUUGGCGGGCAGAUUGGUGUCAGUUUUCUACUCAGCAGCCAGGAAACCUGGGCUCCCAGCAGAGGAGCUUCCUGGAUUCCCAGGUGAUGCAGUUAGGCAAAGGGGUGAGCUGGGGCCAGUGGAAGAGCUGGAGGUGUCUCCCCUGGCCUGGGAAGUGCUUCCUGAAGGCAGCAGCUGUGGUGGCAUUGGCAGGUGCUUUUCCACACGGCAGGUGCUGUGUGUGCGGGAGCUCACUUCAGCUUCAGCUCUAGUGUAUUACACAUACUGCCCUGCCUGUUUUACAAUGAGGGAACUGAAGCUCAGGGAAUUGAGGUUCAGCAAAGGAAAGCCUGUGCCAGAGGCUAGUGAGGGGAGGAGCUGGGAUCCAAUCAUCCUGCCUGCCCCUGGAACCCAGAGCAGACUCGCCGCUGAAGAGCUCUCUUGGAUAAAACGGUUUUCAUCUAUUCCUUCAGUCAUUCAACAGGUAUUCGUUGAGCAGCUCCUGUGUGCCAGAUCUUAUUCUAUGCACUAUGGAAACAGCAAUACGUAAAACAGGAACUCACGUUCCAUUUGGGAAAUACAGACGAUAAAUCACCCAUCAGUAAAUUAUACAGUAUGCCAGAAGGUGAUACAUGUUAUGCAGAAAAGUAGAGGAGAGCAAUGAGGAUUGUUUGAAGAGGAUGGUCAGGGAAGACUUCACUAGGAGGUGACAUUUGGGCAGACACGUGAAGAAGAUGGAGGAACGAACCAAGCAGGUAGCCGAGGGAUGAGUGCUGUCCGGUGGGUGUGAGGAACCAGGCAGUCCAGGUGGCUGGGUGGGGUGAACAAGGAGCAGGGUAGGAAGAGGAGAGGUCAGAGAGGUGACAGGGGAAGAG
ensembl:lncRNA